rnacentral:pre_miRNA from 1 species
AAAGUACUCCCUCCGUCCCAAAAUUCUUGUCUUAGAUUUGUCUACAUACGGAUGUAUCAAGUCACAUUUUAGUAUUAGAUAGAUCCGUAUCUAGACAAAUCUAAGACAAGAAAUUUGGGACAGAGGGAGUAGUUG